rnacentral:rRNA from 1 species
UGGGGAAUAUUGCGCAAUGGGGGGAACCCUGACGCAGCAACGCCGCGUGAAGGAAGAAGGUUUUCGGAUUGUAAACUUCAGCAAGCAGGGAAGAAAGAAAUGACGGUACCUGAACAAAAGCCACGGCUAACUACGUGCCAGCAGCCGCGGUAAUACGUAGGGAGCGAGCGUUGUCCGGAAUUACUGGGUGUAAAGGGAGCGUAGGCGGGAUUGCAAGUUGGAUGUGAAAACUGCGGGCUCAACCCGGAGAGUGCAUUCAAAACUGCGAUUCUUGAGUGAAGUAGAGGCAAGCGGAAUUCCUAGUGUAGCGGUGAAAUGCGUAGAUAUUAGGAGGAACACCAGUGGCGAAGGCGGCUUACUGGACGGUAACUGACGUUGAGGCUCGAAAGCGUGGGGAGCAAACAGGAUUAGAUACC